AGUAAAACAUGGUCCAUAAACAUUAGCUACCAUCAUUCCUUAUUUCCUUAUUUCCUUAUUCCUUCCUUUCUUGACUCAUUUGAGCCUAUUUUCCUGGAAGAAUCCUUUGCAGAUAGACUCUGCUUCUUCAACUUACUGCUGAAAACACUUGGAGAAAUUUCUCGUGGCUUCUAGGGAAACCCUAAAUGCUUCAAGAGGCUGACAGGCCCUGUGUCCGGCGACAGGCCCAUCCGUACCCACCGCCCUGUUCUCAGAGCUCCAGACACUCUGACCUCCUUUCAGUUCUUCAAACCCUCGGAGCUUCCUCUCACCUCAGGGCUUUUACACAAGCUGCUUCCUCUGCCCGGAAUGCCGACUCAUCCUUCCCGUCUCCACCAGAGCCUCCUCACUUCCUCAGGGAGACCUUGCCCGCCGCCCUAACCGGGCCAGACCGCCCUGUGGCACCGCGUAUUGCUCCUCCAUGGGCUUCUCAGGGUCCCUCUCUGACACGUUUCCCUGUGGUGAUUAGACGGACUCUCUCCUCUCAUCCCGACAGUGGAAGCUCAAGGAAGGCAGAGACCACGUCUAUGGUGUUCAUCUGUUCCACCCUCAGAGCCUGGUGUAGCUCCUGAAUGUAACAUGACAUUUUGUGGCUCUAAGAGAAAGGACAAGGUCAUAGGCCUGUGACCCCCCAUGCGGUUCCUCGGCCAGCCCAUCAGCGUGCUCCCUGCUAUUGCCGCCCUGUGUUGCAAAAGGAUCCAUGGAAGGAGCUCCAGUACAAGCAAAAGGUGAUGGAAAGAAGAGGAGAGAGAAAGGUCUUCCGGGGUCACCAUUUCUACCACCUAGGGAAAGCACUAGAGAACCACCGGAAGCAUAAACACAAGGACUCGGUUCUCUGGUUCUCUGAACUAGAAGCAGAAAGGAGCGGCAUUCCUCUCGCCACGUGGGGGUGACCUUGGAUGAACUCUGGAGGAAUCUAAGAAGAAGGAAGAUAAAAACACUGAAGCUCCGGAAGGCCUGGCCCAAGGACGAAAGCUGUUCAGUGGAAACAUUCUGAGGUUGACGCUGCCGGGGAUCCCCGGCCUUGACUCUGCACCUAAGCAGCCUUAUCUAGCACAGAUUCUGAGGAAGAGUCACAGAGAGAAUCCUACAGAGGAUCCCCUCCCCCAACCCCAGCUCGUGCUUAAUUAAGUGAGUGGCUUAGGGGACUUGCCUCCUCUUCAAGAUUAAGAGAGUCCCCUCGGUUUCAUCCCUUGAAAGUCUCACCAAAUGCCAGUUGCUCCAUGACCCCAACUUCCAGUCUCCAGCCAGCUCUCCUGCAGCCAGGCUUCGAACAAAGGAGCUGGCAAGGGUCACAUCUGUGACUCUCCAAACCCCACAGUACUCUGCGCUUCCCUCAUGUCAUCCCAUCGGUAUUCGUGCCCUGCCUUCCUUCACCCAUCGUGAGCACGUGAACUUCCUAAGAUUUCUUGCUGAAGACCCAUGUGACAGGACUAUACAUUUUCACCAGAAAUUGAUGGGAGAAUGGACCCUUCAAAGUGCCUAGAAGACUUUGCAAAAGGUCCCAAUUAACAGAAUGCAGCUAACACCUCAAAAGAUAAAAUAGAAUAAAUGUUGCAGUGGGAGUGAAUAUUGCUCGGAGUGCUGUGUUGUUGGCUGAUUGCCUGGCGAGAGUGGUGGCCAGGACUUGCCAGCUGGCUGAUCCACACGCCUGUAAAGGAUGCGGUCAGCUUACACCUUGGCAAACUAUGAUUUUGAUGGAAAUCUUAGAGGUCGGCAGGCGUUCUCCCUCAUAAAGUGCACUAUCAGGUCAUUGCUUUUGUGUGAGUGAAGAAAAUAUCCUGAUGGCCAGGAUUAGUGGGACCAGGUCGGGACUCUGCUCCAAGAGAGAGUUCACUGCUGGAUCAGAAUAGAUCUAUACCCUAAAGGAGACACAGGGUGUAAUUGAAGGUGGCGCAUUCAUCCCCAAAAUCCCCAUGUUAAACCAGUCAGGCCACUGAAGCAAACCAACUGGCUCACCAACAACACACAUCUUCCCACGAGUUCCACUCAGCAACCAGUUCGUCAAACAACUCCAAAGCCACUGUUAGCCUAUCCUUUAAUAUUUACUCAUAUUAAUGUGUGAGUAGUUGUGUUGCUUGUUUCUUUUGUGUAGAGCUGAAGACAGAGAUCAAGGGUAACCAUUCUAGUAGCCCCCACAAUGGCUAGCUUAGCAUUUUUCACAUGGAGGCACUCAAUGAAUGAUAGAACUGCAAAAGGAGCUUCCUUUGUCCAGAGUCCAUACUGAAAACUUAUAAACUCUUUCAAAAAACUGACAAAAUCUUUCUCAAUUUCCCAGAUGGAUUUAUUUUUUUUGAAAUUUAUUAAAAACUGAUUUUAAUAUUUGUUUUUAAAUCAAGCACACAAAGAUAGCUAGAAAAAAAUACCGUGAACAAGUUUAAAAGCCAAAUACAGACUCGGAAAAGCAUUUGCAAGACUGUAGAUGUGAAUAACAAAGGGUCAAUAUCCUUAGUCUAUAAGAGUGGACAAAGAAUGUGAUCUGGGAAUUUACAAAAUGAGAAAUGACUAUUCAACAUAUGAAAGCAUUUUCAACCUUCCUAGUAACCAAAGAAUACAAAUGGAACCAGAUACCUCUUUUCAUCUAUCAUAUAAAGAAAAACCUGAGUUGUACUAGAUGUGGGUUAUUUGACUGUACUAGAUGUGGGUUAUUUGACACUUUCAUGCACCACCCAUGGCAAUGCAAAAUGAAAUGACCUUUCUGGAAGGCAAAUUGUCAAUGUAUAUUUAAAGGUGUAACUCUAUGACCUGCAGAAAUUCAUCCCGAUUGAAUGACUGCCUCCCAGAUAAAUAUGUCAAGAUCUGUGUAUAAGCAAACCAGAAGAGCUUAAAUGUUGAACAACAGAUUAAUCAAAUGAGAUAAACUACACCCAUACCAUCAUGUAGCCAUUAAAUUGGUAAAAUUCAUAUUUAUUAGUUGGACUAGAAAGACAUUUAAAACAUAUUAAGAAAAAAAGCAGGCCACAGAAAAGUAUGAUCAAGUUUUUGAAAAACAUAUUUAUACAUAUACACAUCUGUUUAUAUUUACACACAUGCACACAAACAUAUAGGUUUAGCUCUGUAAGAUAGCUGUGAUUUACACCUUCCUCAGUGUUGUUUUCCUAUGAAAAGAUUGAUUGAGCUUAGCUCUGUGAUAAUAAAUAUGAGGGUUUUGUUCAAACAUACUUAAAGCUUUUAUUUAUUAUUUAUUUAUUUAUCUAUUUAUUUAUUUUCAAGCCAAACAUUUAAAAUAUUUAAUAUUAAAAAUAUUGAAGUAUUAGAUAUUUCAGCCAAACAAAAACCGAAGAUUUAAUUCAGCUGACAGAGGUUUGGACACACAGAAGA